GUGUCAGCAGCCGCGGUAAUACGUAGGGAGCGAGCGUUGUCCGAAUUUACUGGGCGUAAAGCGCACGUAGGCGGCUUGUCAAGUCCGAUGUGAAAUCCCGGAGCUCAACUUCGGAACUGCAUUGGAAACUGGCAGGCUUGAGUGCAGGAGAGGAGAGUGGAAUUCCUGGUGUAGCGGUGAAAUGCGUAGAUAUCAGGAGGAACACCCGUGGCGAAGGCGGCUCUCUGGCCUGCAACUGACGCUGAGGUGCGAAAGCUAGGGGAGCGAACGGGAUUAGAAACCCGGGUAGUCC
rnacentral:rRNA from 1 species